rnacentral:rRNA from 1 species
GACGAACGCUGGCGGCGUGCUUAACACAUGCAAGUCGAACGGAAAGGCCCUGCUUUUGUGGGGUGCUCGAGUGGCGAACGGGUGAGUAACACGUGAGUAACCUGCCCUUGACUUUGGGAUAACUUCAGGAAACUGGGGCUAAUACCGGAUAGGAGCUCCUGCUGCAUGGUGGGGGUUGGAAAGUUUCGGCGGUUGGGGAUGGACUCGCGGCUUAUCAGCUUGUUGGUGGGGUAGUGGCUUACCAAGGCUUUGACGGGUAGCCGGCCUGAGAGGGUGACCGGCCACAUUGGGACUGAGAUACGGCCCAGACUCCUACGGGAGGCAGCAGUGGGGAAUAUUGCACAAUGGGCGGAAGCCUGAUGCAGCAACGCCGCGUGCGGGAUGACGGCCUUCGGGUUGUAAACCGCUUUCGCCUGUGACGAAGCGUGAGUGACGGUAAUGGGUAAAGAAGCACCGGCUAACUACGUGCCAGCAGCCGCGGUGAUACGUAGGGUGCGAGCGUUGUCCGGAUUUAUUGGGCGUAAAGGGCUCGUAGGUGGUUGAUCGCGUCGGAAGUGUAAUCUUGGGGCUUAACCCUGAGCGUGCUUUCGAUACGGGUUGACUUGAGGAAGGUAGGGGAGAAUGGAAUUCCUGGUGGAGCGGUGGAAUGCGCAGAUAUCAGGAGGAACACCAGUGGCGAAGGCGGUUCUCUGGGCCUUUCCUGACGCUGAGGAGCGAAAGCGUGGGGAGCGAACAGGCUUAGAUACCCUGGUAGUCCACGCUGUAAACGGUGGGUACUAGGUGUGGGGUCCAUUCCACGGGUUCCGUGCCGUAGCUAACGCUUUAAGUACCCCGCCUGGGGAGUACGGCCGCAAGGCUAAAACUCAAAGGAAUUGACGGGGCCCCGCACAAGCGGCGGAGCAUGCGGAUUAAUUCGAUGCAACGCGUAGAACCUUACCUGGGUUUGACAUGGAUCGGGAGCGCUCAGAGAUGGGUGUGCCUCUUUUGGGGUCGGUUCACAGGUGGUGCAUGGCUGUCGUCAGCUCGUGUCGUGAGAUGUUGGGUUAAGUCCCGCAACGAGCGCAACCCUUGUUCACUGUUGCCAGCACGUUAUGGUGGGGACUCAGUGGAGACCGCCGGGGUCAACUCGGAGGAAGGUGGGGAUGACGCCAAGUCAUCAUGCCCCUUAUGUCCAGGGCUUCACGCAUGCUACAAUGGCUGGUACAGAGAGUGGCGAGCCUGUGAGGGUGAGCGAAUCUCGGAAAGCCGGUCUCAGUUCGGAUUGGGGUCUGCAACUCGACCUCAUGAAGUCGGAGUCGCUAGUAAUCGCAGGUCAGCAACGCUGCGGUGAAUACGUUCCCGGG